UUGCUUCAGCAACACAUAUACUGAAAUUUGAACAACACAGAGAUUAACAUGGCCCCUGUACAAGGAUGAUAUGUGAAAUCAUGAAUUAUUCCAUAUUUAC
ensembl:snRNA U6 U6 spliceosomal RNA